GUGAUUAGCUCCACAGGAUGGCGAUCCCACCAAGGAGUUCCCAGUGUUUUCUACCCCUCACAUACUGUUCAGGGCUUUGUGUUUCAGCCCUCAUCUGGAGCUGCGGAUGCUACAGAUACCAGGCACUCUGGAUCAGCCUCUAAGAACCCAAGUUCAGUCCCCAGGAAUCAACCUCUAAUCCACAUCAGUGUUCAUUCCCAGGAGGUAGAAACAAUCAGACACUUGAUUUAUUUGGCGAAUAAAGCCAACAAUGAACACAAAGGACAUUGGAACUCCUUAGUAGGGUGGACUCUUCAAUACUCUAGGG
rnacentral:lncRNA from 1 species